rnacentral:rRNA from 1 species
AGUGAACGCUGGCGGUAGGCCUAACACAUGCAAGUCGAACGGCAGCACAGUAAGAGCUUGCUCUUACGGGUGGCGAGUGGCGGACGGGUGAGGAAUACAUCGGAAUCUACUUUUUCGUGGGGGAUAACGUAGGGAAACUUACGCUAAUACUGCAUACGACGUACGGGUGAAAGCAGGGGAUCUUCGGACCUUGCGCGAGUGAAUGAGCCGAUGUCGGAUUAGCUAGUUGGCGGGGUAAAGGCCCACCAAGGCGACGAUCCGUAGCUGGUCUGAGAGGAUGAUCAGCCACACUGGAACUGAGACACGGUCCAGACUCCUACGGGAGGCAGCAGUGGGGAAUAUUGGACAAUGGGCGCAAGCCUGAUCCAGCCAUACCGCGUGGGUGAAGAAGGCCUUCGGGUUGUAAAGCCCUUUUGUUGGGGAAGAAAAGCAGCAGGUUAAUACCCCGCUGUUCUGACGGUACCCAAAGAAUAAGCACCGGCUAACUUCGUG